GAGUUUGAUCAUGGCUCAGGAUGAACGCUAGCGGCAGGCUCAAUACAUGCAAGUCGAGGGGCAGCAGCUUUAUAGCAAUAUAGAGGCUGGCGACCGGCAAACGGGUGCGGAACACGUACACAACCUUCCUUGAAUAGGGGGAUAGCCCAUAGAAAUGUGGAUUAAUACCCCGUAAUAUAGCGGUGUGGCAUCACACUGUUAUUAUAGUUUCGGCGAUUCGAGAUGGGUGUGCGGCUGAUUAGGUAGUUGGCGGGGUAAAGGCCCACCAAGCCUUCGAUCAGUAGCUGAUGUGAGAGCAUGAUCAGCCACACGGGCACUGAGACACGGGCCCGACUCCUACGGGAGGCAGCAGUAAGGAAUAUUGGUCAAUGGACGCAAGUCUGAACCAGCCAUGCCGCGUGAAGGAUGAAGGUCCUCUGGAUUGUAAACUUCUUUUAUAGGGGGCGAAAAAAGGUCUUUCUAGAUCACUUGACAG
rnacentral:rRNA from 1 species